rnacentral:sRNA from 1 species
UUCCAGGGGGAAUGGUUUGUCCUGGGCCUGGCGGGCAACAGCUUCAGGCCGGAGCACAGGGCGCUGCUGAACCCUUUCACCGCAACUUUCGAGCUAAGUGACGCUGGUGGCUUUGAGGUGUGGAAUGCCAUGACUCGUCGGGAGGCAGAGGCAGAAGGAUCACUUGAACUCAGGAGUUUGAGACCAGCCUGAGCAACAUAGUUAGACACCAUCUCCACUCAUGACGCUUGGCCACUCCCGCCGUGGGUCCCCCUGAAUAAGCGGCUGAAAUCUCCUGAGGGGCCCACCUUGGCAUGGACCUGCCAGCUUCCGGAGCCUUCCGCCUCCACCUGUCCCCUCCUACAGAGGCCAGCACUGUGACACGUGGUCUUAUGUGCUGAUACCAGCAGCCCAGCCCGGGCAGUUCACUGUGGACCAUGGUGUGGGCAGGAGCUGGUUGCUGCCUCCCGGGACGCUGGACCAGUUCAUCUGCCUGGGCAGAGCUCAGGGCCUCUCGGAUGACAACAUUGUCUUCCCAGAUGUGACCGGUAACAUAGCUCACCUGCAGGCAUGCUGGGCAGUAGGCACGGGGCCCGCAGGAAUGAGUUUGGUUGACCCUAGAGGAGCUGGACCCAGUGUCUGCCCAGGGAGCUCAGCCCCAGCCUGCACUCAGGUGUCUCCAGGCUCCUGGGUCCCUGCGCUCAACCCAGGCUCUGAGCCACCUCCUGCCGCCCUGGGUCCCCUGUCC